GGGCUUAAAGGGCCCAAAUCGAACAAAUUGAAUACAACCAAAAAACCCAAAAGCCCUGAAGAUGGACCCAGCCCAUGAAAAGACACAAAGGAAAACUCCAAAAACCUUCAUAGGGAGAAGUUCACGAAGCAUCCACUCAAGUUCUACCGUAAAGCGUCACUAGCAGUAGAGAAAAGAGUACCCCAAAAGCGCCAUCCACCACUAACACCAUUAAAUGGCAGAAACAAAGCCAAAACAAUAAAGCCCCAGAGAAAGCUACAAAACAAAGGAUUAAACACAGAGUUUUAGAAAACAGAGAGCGCUUUAGAAGCUAAAUUGUCAUCUCCUCUGCCGCUUAAAAAGACCACUAGACUGCCUUUAGACGAAGCUCUCUGUAUUGAG
rnacentral:misc_RNA from 1 species